GAGUUCUGUGCAUGUGGUUCCCACCUAACAUGUUAACAGCAUGGAAGUGAGACCCGGACAUGACACACAUAUGGUGCUGCUCCUUUGCACUGAACAGUGCAGGGCGAGCAAAGGAGGCGGGAGGAUCCAGGAGCUCAGUUGAUGCUGGGACUCAGUCAGCAGCACCUUGCAGAGCUCCUCCCUGACAUCAGAGGGUUUGCCAACCAGCUGGGGCAGAUGGCAGGACAUCAGCAGUCAGGGCAGGGAGGCCAGAGCAGCACACACACCAAGCAGGGAAACACGACCAAACCCACCUAAGGAGGAUUUAAAGAAGCCAGUUAACCUAACAAUCAUGUUUUUGGACUGUGGGAGGAAGCUGGAGUACCCGGGGAGAACCCAUGCAUGCUCAGGG